rnacentral:lncRNA from 1 species
UCCCUUGCCAGUCUCAAAGCUACAUCGCCAAAACCUCCGCAUGGAACUGCGUCCAUCCUAUUGGCUAGAGGUUCUGACUGAUUGUCAAAGCUCCAGCCCACUGUGGUGGUCCUGGGAAAUACAAGGAAGAGGGAGCCCUAAGCAACAAGCAAUGUUCUUCCAUGACCUCUGCUUCAGUUCCUGCUUCCAGAUUCCUGCUUGAGAGUUCCUGCUGUGACUUUUCUCAGUGAUGGACUGUGAUGUAGACACAUUAGCCAAAUAAGCCUUUUUCAUUGCCAGUUGGUGAGUGUUUUGUCACAUCAACAGAAAUCAAACUAGAACACCCAUAAACAGAAUUAACUUC